rnacentral:rRNA from 1 species
AGCCAUCCUUGGGAUACCACCCUUGUAGUACUGGGACUCUAACCAUAGACCAUGAAUCUGGUCUUGGGACACUGUCAGGUGGGCAGUUUGACUGGGGCGGUCGCCUCCCAAAAGGUAACGGAGGCGCUCAACGGUUCUCUCAGUACGGUCGGAAAUCGUACGUAGAGUGUAAAGGCAAAAGAGAGCUUGAUUGCAAGACAUACAGGUCGAGCAAGGAUGAAAAUCGGACUUAGUGAUCCGGUGGUUCUGCGUGGAAGGGCCAUCGCUCAACGGAUAAAAGCUACCCUGGGGAUAACAGGCUUAGCUCCCCCAAGAGUCCACAUCGACGGGGAGGUUUGGCACCUCGAUGUCGGCUCAUCACAUCCUGGGGCUG